AUUGUAUCACAGGCAGAGGGGAGGAUUUUGUGUGGGAGUGUCUGAGUGUAUUGUACGUGUUUAUUGGUUGUUUUCAAAAACCCUGUGGUUGGUACUAAUAUGUAAGAAUGUGUAUAUAAGAACAAUAAAUCCACAGCUCUGUCUGUUCCUGCUUGACCCUCAAAACGGAGCCUUGUCUCGUUCUUGGGGGGAUUUAUUGCAUGCUGUUCAAGUUUGACUGCUAGGGGUGUAAACCUAUUCAUAUGUUUUUUUCCUAUUUGGCUGUCUACAGCAUUCAUAUGUUUCUCCGGUUCAGUGUAUUGGUGUCUACAGUAGCUGUGCCUGUGUCUCUGGAAGGGAAGAUCUACUAAAUGGCUUUUAACCCCUUUUUAUGCCUGGGGUGCCGUUACAGGCCUAAAAGCAGAACUUCCAGCUCCUCUUUAAAGGAACACUCUAGUGUUCGGAAUACAAAUCUGUAUUCCUAAUGCUAUAGUGUCCUUGUCUCUAUUUGUUUUCAAAUCCACCCCAUGUGAUAUAAAAUAACUUUUUACUUACUUUUUUUUUUUUAACACCAAUGCUCCUUCUGCGCUGCUUACCUCUCCACCUCCCAUGACAU